AGUGAGCUAUCCAUGAGCAGGUUGAAGCACAGGUAAAGCUGUGUGGAGGACCGAACCGUCUACGGCUGAAAACGUUCCGGAUGACUUGUGGAUAGGGGAGAAAGGCCAAUCAAACUCGGUGAUAGCUGGUUCUCCCCGAAAUAUAUUGAGGUAUAGCCUCAGGGAUUGUCAGACGGAGGUAAAGCACUGAAAAGGCUAGGGGUCCUACCAGAUUACCAAACCUUAUCAAACUCAGAAUGCCGUUAUGAUGUACCCUGGGAGUCAGACUGCGGGUGCGAAGGUCCGUAGUCGAGAGGGUAAGAGCCCAGAUCAACAGCUAAGGCCUCCAAAUCCAUACUCAGUGGAGAAGGUGGUGGAGUUGUCUAUACAGCCAGGACGUUGGCUUAGAAGCAGCCAUCGUUUAAAGAAAGCGUAAUAGCUCACUGGUCUAAUGACUCUGCGCCGAAAAUGUAACGAGGCUAAGUAUGGUGCCGAAGCUUUGGGAGGAUUUUUCGAAAUCCUCGGUAGGGGAGCGUUCUCUAUGGGCUGAAGGGGUGUUGUAAAGCGUCCUGGACUUUAGAGAAGUGAUUAUGCUGACAUGAGUAACGAUAAAACGGGUGAAAAACCCGUUCGCCGAAAUCCCAAGGAUUCCUGGGUAAAGUUAAUCUUCCCAGGGUUAGUCGGACCCUAAGGCGAGGCUGAGAAGCGUAGCUGAUGGAAAACGGGUUAAUAUUCCCGUACUGACGUAAGAGCGCGAUGGAGGGACGCAGAAAGAUAGGCAGGCCGGGUGUUGGAAUACCCGGUGCAAGCAGGUAGGAGUACCCGGCAGGCAAAUCCGCCGGGCGAAUCCGAGAAGCGAGUCCGUGGCCAUAUGGCCUGAAGCUGUUGAGUCUCCGCUGCCAAGAAAAACUUCUAAGUAUAGCUUACGUUACCCGUACCGCAAACCAACUCAGGUGGGAGGGAUGAAUAAUCCAAGGCGCUCGAGAGAACUCUGGCCAAGGAACUCGGCAAAAUAACCCCGUAACUUCGGAAGAAGGGGUGCUCUUGACGGUGAAGUUUUUAACAUGCGGAGCUGUCAGGAGCCGCAGUGAAUUGGUGGUGGCGACUGUUUACUAAAAACAUAGGUCUCUGCGAAGUCGCAAGACGACGUAUAGGGACUGACGCCUGCCCGGUGCUGGAAGGUUAAGAGGAGAGGUCAGCGCAAGCGAAGCUUUGAAUCGAAGCCCCAGUAAACGGCGGCCGUAACUAUAACGGUCCUAAGGUAGCGAAAUUCCUUGUCGGGUAAGUUCCGACCUGCACGAAUGGCGUAACGAUCUCC
rnacentral:rRNA from 1 species